rnacentral:rRNA from 1 species
UUGAACGCUGGCGGAAUGCUUUACCCAUGCAAGUCGAACGGCAGCACGGGGGCAACCCUGGUGGCGAGUGGCGAACGGGUGAGUAAUACAUCGGAACGUGCCCGGUCGUGGGGGAUAACGUAGCGAAAGUUACGCUAAUACCGCAUACGAUCUGAGGAUGAAAGCGGGGGACCUUCGGGCCUCGCGCGAUCGGAGCGGCCGAUGUCAGAUUAGGUAGUUGGUGGGGUAAAGGCCUACCAAGCCGACGAUCUGUAGCUGGUCUGAGAGGACGACCAGCCACACUGGGACUGAGACACGGCCCAGACUCCUACGGGAGGCAGCAGUGGGGAAUUUUGGACAAUGGGCGCAAGCCUGAUCCAGCCAUUCCGCGUGCAGGACGAAGGCCUUCGGGUUGUAAACUGCUUUUGUAUGGAACGAAAAGGCUCUGGCUAAUACCUGGGGCUCAUGACGGUACCGUAAGAAUAAGCACCGGCUAACUACGUG